UGUUUAUGUUGUUUUUAUGGUGCUUUGGAAGGGCCAGAUGGAGGGGAGCAGUGGCUGCAUGUAUUCUCUCAGGAAUGGGUAAACCUCAGGACACAGAAUCUAUAGGCACUGGCCCUGCCCCAAAAUGGGGGGCUCCCUCUACCAGAGUCCACAUGGAGUCUGGACUUGAUUCAGCUGAAGAAGUCUUUGAUGACAGGAAGCAUGGUGGCCUAGACAUGGUGCUGGAGAGGCCGUUGGAAGGUCUGGAUCUUUGCAGGCAGCAGGAAGAGAGACCCUGGGACCAGCUUGAGCAUGUGAAAUCUCAAAGCCCACCCCCAGUGACGCAUUGCCUCCAACAAGGCCACAACUACGGACCUAUGGGGACUGUUUUCAUUCAGAUCACCACACUUGGGGAAGUUGAGCUGAUUGCCCUGCUCUUCCCGGCUUCUGAGUCCACAGGGCAGGGAGAGUCAAAGGUCCUCGGUGGGAUUUUCCAGAUGAUGGUCUUUUAAAGCCAGGCCUGAGUCCACUUCAUUCUCUAAUUUUUCCGAACACUGCAGAUGGGUAGGUAGCCCUUGUGAAGUUAAGAGAAUUCUCAACAAUUCCCUACUUUCUCUUGAACAGUUCAACCUUGGAUAUGUUCAGAAAGGGCAUUUGUCACCAUCUUAUGAACACUGGCUCUCAUUGGGUAAGGUUCUCCCUAGAGCAGAGGUUCUUCACCUUCCUUUAAUACGAUUUGUUCCUCUUGUUGUGGUGACCCCCCUAGUCAUAAAAUUAUUUCGUUGCUACUUCAUAACUGCAAUUUUGCUACUGUUAUGAGUUGUAAUGUAAAUAUCUGAUAUGCAGAAUGAUAGCAGAUGAUAUUUGACCCCCCUCCCAAGGGAUCCUGACCCACGGGUUGAGAACCAUUGCUCUAGAGAGUGUUUUAUUAGAUUCAGUAGAUAGUUGCACACUGGUACAUACUGGUAUUUCCCUAUUUUAUGGGUGAGGAGACUCACACUCAGCUAAGCUGGAGGAUGUGCUGAAGAUCAGCAAUGACCAUGGUAAUGGAUGUCUCAGCUGUCUUCCAAGUGACAACACCGACUUACAACACAAACAGCGACACUAUCCUUCUCCGGUGAGCUGGUGCUGUUGGUUGAAAGAGGGGUCCUACUAGACGGGACAAACACUUUCUCUGCUGCCAGAAAAGGUGACAGAAAUGGCAGCUUCCAAGUCCCCUGCUGUAGAGAGCUUGAAGUAGGGAUGGUGGAAAGGCCAGAAUGGGUGGGAAGGAGAGCAGCACUUGUUUCUGAAGCCACCACUGUCUCUCAAGGGGGAAUGCGGAUGUCCUCAGAGUCACCUUUGAUCCCACACGGGAAACUUAAACAGACACUAACCCGCGAGCACAUUACCACUUACCCCUCAUUUUCUCAUUCACAAAAUUAAGUCAUGAUACCCUUGGGGGCGGGGGAUAAGCCGCAGCGUUGGCUGUACAGUAUGCAGUCAAUAUCACUACAGGUAGCAGAUUGAGUUUAACAAGCCAUAUGGGUUGUAAUUGUCCAAGUAUGAUUAAUUCAUAAUGUUUGUUCAUUUUAUGUCUUAGAUUAUGGUUUGUUAUUAUUUCAUCCAAUUACAGCGCUAAAUCCCUUUUCUAGAUGGUGUUGGGAACCCUUAGGGAUUUUAAUGUUUCCCCAGUGACAGCCAUGACCUCUCUCUGUCUCUGGACUCUGUCUGGGACUCCUUCGUAUUGGCAGAAAAGGAUGACGUGAAGUUGGAGCAGAUGGUGCAUCCGUCCGUUGCUGAACUCUACUGGCAGCCCAGAGGAAGACUUGAUACUGAAGAGUUCCUGCCCUGACUGUUACCAGGUACCACAGUUUUAUGCUCUGCUCUGAGAUGCCAAGCACCCCAAUCUGAGUCCAGUACCAUAGAUGAACGCUGACUUUGUGCUGGGACUCCAGUGGACGCUGCUGCUGAAGAUGGGGAGGAUACUUAAGAUGCUGCUGCUGUUGCUGCUGUUGCUGCUGCUGCCGCUGCUGCCGCCGCCGCCACCGCCGCUGCUGCUGCUGCUGCUGAGGUUGAGGAAGUCACUAGUGACAUGGGAGAGGAUAGCAAAUCUUAUCUGAUGAUGACAUCUAAAGAACUCAAUGUCUGGGAGGCCCUUAUAAAUGUUGAUAACCCAAGAUAGAAACUCUGCCAGUCAAUCCGAUACUUCAAAGCCUCCACCUCCAGAAAUCAACUUUGACAGUGCCCAGAAAUUCUAUCUAGGGAAAAAUGGGUUGAACCUCACGUGUGAGCUAAAAACGUGUUUGUGUGUGUGUGUGUGUGUGUGUGUGUGUGUGUGAAAGAAAACAAGGUUAGCCCAUAAGACAAGUAAUUUUUCUAAGAUGAAUACCCUCAGUGGUCCCUCUUACUUUAUACAACAAGCGAGACUGAGUUUAGAGAGAUUAAGGCCCCAGGUCACCCAACUGUAAGCGGUGGAAGUAGGGUUUGAGCCCAUCCUCCUAAUAAACUCACCAGUUCUCAACCACGACCUCCAUGAAGAUUCCUUAGAAGCCAUUAUUUUUCUUGCCAAAGAAGCUAUACCCAGUUUUCAUCCUGAUCCCAGGCCAUCUUUGUUGUCUUGGAUGAAGGGUCACAGCAGACAACUGUAUUUGUGAGCUCACAAAAUGUGACUUUGGUUGUGAAUACAAUAUUACAAAACCAUAGUUCAGAUCUUAACACCUUCCUGGGCAUGAAUGAUGGGUAUCAAAUGAAUGUCAGCGGUGUGGAGGAGAAGAAAGAAUGCUACCUAGGGUUCAGAACAAGUCUGUCCCUCAUGAGGGGUAGGAGGUGGUCAAGUUGUUGGACUUCUCUGAGUCACUUUAAAGGAUAACACUAGAGUGAAUGAUGUCCAGGGUUCUCCAUGUUGUAAGGUCCACAAUUUUAAAAUGAUGGAAGCCACAGGUCAUAUGCGGAAAUAACCCAUAUCGGUUUUGUGCCAUUGCUUGUAUUAAUGUGAAAACGCAAUUUAUUUAAAGACAAGCAAACAACAUUUCACUACAGUUUGAAAAUGGCAAGAGGCAAACGGUGUGCUGUGAAGCCUUCCUUUCCGAGGGCUGGGGCUCACCCCUCUGGGAAGGGCCAGAGAGGCUAGUAACUGCCGGUUUCCCUGAAAAAAGGGCUGCAGUGUGGUUAUGCCAAGAACUCUGUGUCGACCUGGCUCCGAUCCCGGGUCUCUUGUUCAUGCCUGCUCCUGCCAGCUGCUGCUUUCUGCUCUAGCUGUUUGGAAUCUGGGCCUGGCAACAUGGGUCUGCCUUGGCAUGCCUCUUGUAUGUCUCUUUCUGUGUGUGCCUGUGUCUGUGUGUGCCUGCAGACUCAGCAUGUCAUAAUGGAGAGGAAUAAAAACAGUGCCCAGAUGUGGGCCUUCAUCUUUA